rnacentral:rRNA from 1 species
UACGUAGGGUGCGAGCGUUAAUCGGAAUUACUGGGCGUAAAGCGUGCGCAGGCGGUUUGUUAAGACAGAUGUGAAAUGCCCGGGCUUAACCUGGGAACUGCAUUUGUGACUGCAUGGCUAGAGUUUGGCAGGAGGGGGGUAGAAUUCCACGGUGUAGCAGUGAAAUGCGUAGAUAUGUGGAGGAACACCGAUGGCGAAGGCAGCCCCCUGGGUCAAGACUGACGCUCAUGCACGAAAG